rnacentral:rRNA from 1 species
UUGCACAAUGGGCGCAAGCCUGAUGCAGCCAUGCCGCGUGUGUGAAGAAGGCCUUCGGGUUGUAAAGCACUUUCAGUCAGGAGGAAAGGUUAAUAGUUAAUACCUGUUAGUUGUGACGUUACUGAKAGAAGAAGCACCGGCUAACUCCGUGCCAGCAGCCGCGGUAAUACGGAGGGUGCGAGCGUUAAUCGGAAUUACUGGGCGUAAAGCGUACGCAGGCGGUUUGUUAAGCCAGAUGUGAAAGCCCCGGGCUCAACCUGGGAACUGCAUUUCGAACUGGCAAACUAGAGUGUGAUAGAGGGUGGUAGAAUUUCAGGUGUAGCGGUGAAAUGCGUAGAGAUCUGAAGGAAUACCGAUGGCGAAGGCAGCCACCUGGGUCAACACUGACGCUCAUGUACGCAAAGCGUGGGGAGCAAACRGGAUUAGAUACCCCGGUAGUCCACGCCGUAAACGAUGUCUACUAGAAGCUCGGAGCCUCGGUUCUGUUUUUCACAGCUAACGCAUUAAGUAGACCGCCUGGGGAGUACGGCCGC